AAACCAAAAUUGUGUUUUCAGUGGACAUUUUUUUUUCAUAUUUUUUUUAGAUUCCAAAAUGAACCUGAACGAUUUCGUCAGUAUGGAUCCCAAGGUAGGAUGAACCCCAUAGUUCAGUACUUCGGCUUCAUCAGGUAGGCAUGAUGAAGAUUAAUUCAGUCUCUAGCCCUUCCCCAUCUCUAAAGAAUGGAGGAUGGGGCUGAAAGCUCCAAGCUUCUAAUCAUUGCUUAGUCUUUCCAGUGAGCAGCCCCUGUCCAGGAGC
rnacentral:lncRNA from 1 species